AUGGGCGCAAAGUUGUCAGCUCAGCAAAGGGGGAUUUAUUUCCAAGUUGUGGGAAUCCUUGUGUGGGGAGGGAAAACGUUUUCUAAGGGUUUGGUUAGGAGGUUUGUGAGGUGGCUGUUCUUGCACUACCCCCAUGUGUCCUUGGAAAACAUUUGUUCUGUCAACUUUUGGAAUACAGUCGGAGGUAAAUUGACAAUUUUAGUUAAUCAAGGGGACAAAACUGCUUCUAAAUUAAUACCACUUUUUGUUCUGAUUAGGUCCUCAUUAAUUGAAAAAGGGGGAGUGCAAGGGCAGCCAGGACAGUUUACCCCAGUUUCCCCAGUUUCCCCACCCCCAUGUACCUCUACCUCUGCCCCCAAGUUGGGGGAGACCUGCAGGGCAUCCCGUGAUACACAGGGCACCAGCAAUGGCUCUAGUCUCCCUGGCUCCCCACGUCUCCCUCAGAACCCCAGCCCUGGCAGCCCUGGCCGCCCUGGCCAAGCUGCCAGAGCACCUACCCAUUCCCCUGUCUCCCUGGUUGUUAAUCCAAAGUUUAAUGCUUCCCAGGUUGUUAAUCCCCAGUUAAAUGAAGUUAAAAAUCCCCAGUUAAUAUCCCAAGAUCCUUGUUCCCCUGUGUACCCCUGUUCUCCUUGUUCCCCUGUGUUUCCCUGUUCUUCCCCUGACUCACAAAAUGGCCCCCAGAGGGCACAACAUGGCAGGGAUCACAUGGUCGGACCUCUCCCUUGUGCUUCUCCUUCCCAAAAUCCCUUUCUUCCCCCAUUGACCAACCCCUUCUUCCCUAACUCCUCCCCUUCUUCCUACCCUGACCCCUCCCACUUCCCCUCAGGAAACUCCUCCUCUGGGGCAUGUCAUUCUAUCACCACACCCCCAAACCCCACCUCUUCCUGUUGUUGCUCCUCCCUUAAGCCCUCCCACUCAGUCAGUCCUCCAGCCCCGCCCCUUCUGGCUUCCGGCUCCCACGCCCCUCCUUCCGGUUCCCACGCCCCUCCUUCCGGUUCCCACGCUCAAAAAACCAGAAGUGUCAGGCCUGGAAACCAGAACUCAGAACUGGGUGAUACUCCCUUCGUUGCACCGGAGAGUUUUCGUGGCAGGGGGGGGAGGUACCAUGAAUGGGAGCCCUUCUCCUUCCAAACCAAGAGGGAGCUGUGCAAAGCUCAGAAAGAGUUUGGGAGAAGGAGCAAGUAUUUUAAAGGUCUACUGAAAGCUACCUUCUCCGCAAACGAAACGGUCCCCUCUGACCUAAAAGAUUUGUUUUCCUGCCUCCUUUCCUCAGCUGAGUUUAGGCUAUGGAAACAGGGGUGGAAGAGGGCAUUGGAGACCAUGCUUCCUGAGCUGUUGCACAGUGAAGAUACUGCGGUUGACGCAGAUGGCAAUCCCCUCACUUUAGAUCACCUGUGUGGCGAAGGGAAUUGGGCCAAACCUGAAGAACAGGCCAGAGGCAUACCUCGGUCUGUUCUUGUUAAGAUAGCGGAGGCUGCCGAGAAAGCAUUUAAUGCAAUGCCUGAAGAAGAACCACAGGCAAGUUUCCUGUCCAUCAAACAGUUCCCCAGUGAACCUUUUGUUAAGUUCGUUGACAGGCUACAAGUGCAAGUCGAAAGACAAAUAGAAAGACCUGAGCUUCAGGAAAACCUGCUUUUAGAAGUGGCUAAGAACAACGCCAAUGAAGUAUGCCGUCACAUCAUCCUCGGCUUGCCUCUCCAUCCGCCUCCCACCUUGGAAAUGAUUAUUGAAGCUUGUACAAGAAAGGCUCCAAUGGUGAGACUCAGCCAAACAGCGCCAGCACCGGCACCGAGGAAGACGCCAGCCGCAGCUGCAAUACAGCGGACACCACUGAGCCAGCUGCAGUGUUUCCACUGUGGACAGUUGGGGCACCUGGCAAGGGAGUGUUCGGCUUCUAACCUUUGCCAGGGGAACGCAGGGAACGGACUGGGAGGAAGGAUCAAAUAA
ensembl:lncRNA